rnacentral:rRNA from 1 species
UACGUAGGGAGCAAGCGUUGUCCGGAAUCAUUGGGCGUAAAGCGCACGUAGGCGGCGCAGUAAGUCAGGGGUGAAAUCCCGGGGCUCAACCCCGGAACUGCCCUUGAAACUGCAGUGCUAGAAUCUUGGAGAGGCGAGUGGAAUUCCGAGUGUAGAGGUGAAAUUCGUAGAUAUUCGGAAGAACACCAGUGGCGAAGGCGACUCGCUGGACAAGUAUUGACGCUGAGGUGCGAAAGCGUGGGGAGCGAACAGG